UACGUAGGGUGCGAGCGUUGUCCGGAAUUAUUGGGCGUAAAGAGCUCGUAGGCGGUCUGUCGCGUCGGCUGUGAAAACUUGGGGCUCAACCCCAAGCCUGCGGUCGAUACGGGCAGGCUAGAGUUCGGUAGGGGAGACUGGAAUUCCUGGUGUAGCGGUGAAAUGCGCAGAUAUCAGGAGGAACACCGGUGGCGAAGGCGGGUCUCUGGGCCGAUACUGACGCUGAGGAGCGAAAGCGUGGGGAGCGAACAGG
rnacentral:rRNA from 1 species